GCUAUUCCAAUAUCCACUGUUGCUUCUGAGUCUACCUUUAGUACUGGAGGACGUGUUCUUGAUUCCUUUAGGAGUUCUUUAACUCCUAGAAUGGCUCAAGCUCUUGUGUGCUAUCAAGAUUGGAUAAAAAAUUCAACACCUUCAUUGGAUGUUUUUGAAGAGCUUCAAGAAUUAAAUGACUUUGAAAGUGUUGAAAAUGAUUCUUCAUGGAAUGCAAUGGAACCCACCUUGUGAAUUGUGAGUAAGUGGUUAAUUAUUAUUUAUACUUACACUUUUUAAUAUGUAGGAG